UUUCCGGAGGUGAACCUGCGGAAGGAUCAUUACAGAGUUCAUGCCCUCACGGGUAGAUCUCCCACCCUUGAAUAUUUAUACCUUAGUUGCUUUGGCAGGCCGUGGAAACACCAUGGGCUCCGGCUUAUGCGUGCCUGCCAGAGGAAACAAACUCUGUUUUUAGUGAUGUCUGAGUACUAUAUAAUAGUUAAAACUUUCAACAACGGAUCUCUUGGUUCUG
rnacentral:misc_RNA from 1 species